rnacentral:rRNA from 1 species
AAACCCCUUUCAGCAGGGACGAAAUUGACGGUACCUGCAGAAGAAGCUCCGGCUAACUACGUGCCAGCAGCCGCGGUAACACGUAGGGGGCGAGCGUUGUCCGGAUUUAUUGGGCGUAAAGAGCUCGUAAGCGGUUCGAUAAGUCGGGUGUGAAAACUCUGGGCUCAACCCAUAGACGCCACUCGAUACUGUCGUGACUAUAGUCCGGUAAGGGAGCGUGAAAUUCCUGGUGUAGCGGUGAAAUGCGCACAUAUCAUGAGGAACACCAGCGGCGAAGGCGGCGCUCUGGGCCUGUCCUGACGCUGAUGAGCGAAAGCGUGGGUAGCGAACAGGAUUAGAUACCCUGGUAGUCCACGCCGUAAACGUUGGGCACUAGGUGUGGGGCCUUAUCAACGGGUUCCGUGCCGUACCUAACGCAUUAAGUGCCCCGCCUGGGGAGUACGGCCGCAAGGCUAAAACUCAAAGGAAUUGACGGGGGCCCGCACAAGCGGCGGAGCAUGUUGCUUAAUUCGAGGCAACGCGAAGAACCUUACCUGGAUUGAACUACGCAGGAUAAGCCGUAUAGAUACGGUGUCCUUCGGGGCCUGUGAUAGGUGGUGCAUGGCUGUCGUCAGCUCGUG